GAGAGAAUGGAGUGAGAAGGAAGAAUCAUAACGGGUCCAAGAAAGAUAUUCCUGUCUAAAACAAUGUGUACUUCACUAGCAAGAUCAAGAAUAUUUGAGGAUAUUCCUUUCGGACACGUAUGAGUUUGGACAAAAUGAACUGGGUCCAGGAAUACAGAAUGAAAAUAUUAUGCACUUCUGUACUUAGAAGAAGCCCAUGCAGUUUCCAGGCUCCGUUAUGGAGCAGAAAUGCCAUCAAAGCAGAGGUAGCCUGGUUGGUUGACGGGUGGCAAAGAGGAAAAGCAACUGAAGGCUUCACUCAGGUCUAUUCCUGACUCAUACAAACUGCUUCCCCGCACCAUGCCAACCAGCCAUCAAGAAAGCAACAUCUCCAAGAAAGUUUGCCUGGUGCCAACAUUCAGAUACCAACAAAACAUUUUUUUAAAAUUAUACAGGCAUUUAAGGACUUUAAAACCCUAUCUUGGCAUUAAAUUCUGAUUUCCAACCAUG